UACGAAGGGGGCUAGCGUUGCUCGGAUUCAUUGGGCGUAAAGGGUGCGUAGGCGGCGCGGUAAGUCGGGUGUGAAAUCUCGGAGCUUAACUCCGAAACUGCAUUCGAUACUGCCGUGCUUGAGGACUGGAGAGGAGACUGGAAUUUACGGUGUAGCGGUGAAAUGCGUAGAUAUCGUAAGGAAGACCAGUGGCGAAGGCAGCUUGCUGGGCAACUCCUGACACUGAGGUACGAAAGCGUGGGGAGCAAACAGG
rnacentral:rRNA from 1 species